rnacentral:sRNA from 1 species
ACAGCAAAGGGAUCGCUCUAUUGUUGCGCUGCGCUCUGUCAUGCAAGCAGCUUAUUUGUGUUCCUCAAGUGUGAAUAUUUGCACCUUCGAAGGAUGUCUACGCAUCAUACACCAGUAGCGGCCGCUUUGUUCAUCUGUCCACCUGAGCUAACUUGAAGUCUUGCCUGGUGCAACCUGCCCAAGGUGAUUGAUGAAGCCCAGAGUGCUAGUACUGUGGGCAAUCGAUAACUAUUGGCCCGUGAGAUGAAUAAGUUGAUUUACAAGCACCGCGGGAAGGUCGCCAGGACUUUAUCACAAAACCA